UAACGAAAAAGAUCAAACCAUGUAUGCAGUCUCCAUAGUGGUCCUGGGCUGGUGCGUAGGUCGGAAAAUUUUUGUUUUCUGCUGCGUUCCCCUACACUCCUCUCCUCGCUCUAGCAUUUGGUGCACCGACUCGUCAGGUGCCAGCGCCCAUACACUUGCAGACAUAGGACAUGAAAUCAGUGCAUCUUUCCAUGUGUUCAUGUCUCCACAGAGCAGGCAAGUAUUUUCGGUUGCCAUGUGAUGAUGCUCCAACACAGUCCCGGUUGGCAUUGACCGCCGGGCUAGUCGCCGUAGAAACAUGUUGAGCUUUGAGGGGACUUGAAUGUGCCAGAUCAUGGACCAGUUGUUGGUUUCGCACACGUGCACACAUGAUCCGUAAUCUGCAACGCAUUGAGCUAUGUGUGCUUUUAUUGGGCUUCUAAUCUAGUGCACAUCACGGAUGGGCCUCUCCGGCCAUUUUUGUUUUCGAUCAGUAUUGGGCUCGUACGACUGUACCAAGCCUUUAGCUGCCCUGGCCCAGGGCCUGCCCUGGGUAGCAUCAAUACCAGCAAUGAUGUAAUAUGAAUCAUUCGAGCAGACUUACUUAGGGCCCGUUCGGAAGCAGUCCACGGGCUGGCUUCCGAAAAUUGGUCAGAGAAGCCGCACCGAAUGGCUCCGCUUCAAGAAGCUGGUAAAGAGUGCCUAUAAGCUAUGUGCAGCUGGAGAAAACACGGAAGGAGGGGGUGUUGGAGCAAGUUCCACGAUUUCUGGAAAUCUGAAUAGCAUAGCGGAUGACUCCUGGAAGAGAAUUUGGAAGCCGCCCUGUCCUAGGAAUAUCCAAAUGUUCACAUGGAGGCUGAAACAUGAGUCCCUAGCGCUACGUACUACGGUUGCACGGAGGGGUAUUCCCAUAGAGGAUACCAAAUGCUUAUUUUGCAGCAGAGGGGAGGAGGAUGGGGCUCACCUUUUCAUCAAAUGUAAGCUUGCAAAGGAGGUUUGGCGAGACCUGGCUCUGGAAAAGGAAAGGAGCGAUCUGGAGAAGAUUGAGGGUGUGCAUGCAAUGUUUGAUUACAUCUGGGGGUUGCAUGAAAAUAAAAGGCUUCAUAUUCUCACUUUCUGGUGGCUUUGGUGGGCGAAUAGAAACAAGGCAAGGGAGGGUGAGUUACCUUUCACAGCGGGGAAGUGGCAAGAAGAACGAGGAGCAGUGUCCUCGAGUACGUGCAGAUCUUCUCCUCCAAGGGCCACGGCCCGAAGCCAGACAAGUGGCGCCCUCCUACUGAAGAUGUCUAUAAAAUCAAUGUGGAUGGUUCAGUCGUUCCGGGACAGCAGCAUGCAGGCUGGGGCAUAGCAGCGAGGAUCGCGGAUGGCUCUCUGGUGCAUGCGCGAGCGGGACGACAGGAGCACACGGCAGAUGCUUUUGCAGCUGUGGUGGCCGCCAUGGCUCAUGCAAUCACAACCGCAGCUGAGCUUGGUAUGAUCAGGGUGGAGUUCGAAACAGACUCUCAACUACUGGCUGAAGCUCUGGAUGUGCGCAAAGUGGAUUCUUCGGCAUACGCGGUUGCUUUAGAGGACAUGAAAUACCAACUUAAGUUGUGGUUCUCCUUUUUUUCCAUCUCUGUCUGUAGACGUAAUGCGAACUCAGUGGCACAUGAACUUGUCAAUAUUAAUCGCCUUUGUGAACCAGACCAAUGUUUGGUCUGGGAGUCCGAUGUACCUGCCCGUGUGGGCGAAUGUGUUGUGGGUGAUAUGCCUCAUCACAGUUAAGUAAUGAAGCAAUGCUUUCCCUAAAAAAAUUUAUCGCGGAGACGAGAAGCUGGGCUGGCGCAGCUUCGCGAAAAGCAGAAUCGGGAGUUGCUCAAAAUUACGGUGCUAAUGCCACCGCGAAGUAUACCGAGUCGAAUCGUUUUCCUCGACCUGGUGGCUCGAGUCCUCUUCUCGUACAGAAAUGAAUGCCCACGCUCCUCCUCUGCUCUCGCAACCCUAGCCACCGCCCCGUCGCCGGCGUGCCUCCGCGCCGUCGCGCCGCCGUCCGCCGCCGCCUCUACGCAUCGCCCCGCAAGUCUCCGUCCAUCGCCGCUCGCAGCAGCCGCCCAACGUCCCCGUGAUGUCGUCUCCCCAUCUGCCGCCACUCCUUCCGUUGGUCGCCGCCGGCAGCCGCACCAAGUAGAGCUCCUGGACGGGCCUGGCCGCAAGAUCCACGGCAGAGAAGUCGUUCCCCCAGCUCAAGUGCAGUCUGUAGUGCUAUGAAUUGAUUUCAGAUCAAGUCAAGAAUUUCCCUGCAGUCUGUAGUGCUACGAACUACUCUUGGAGGAGCCUGCAGCAAGAUCCACGUCAGAGAAGCUGUUCCCCCAUCUCAUUGAGCAGCCCCCUCCCCCUCUUGUACCACUCUGUUUCAGCCUGAAUUUGUGCCUACUGUAUGUGGCCAGCCCCAAUUGUUUGUGAGAUGGUACACUUCUCGCUUCUACUGUAUGAAUUGGUUUGUACAGUUCUAGUCAGAUCAAUAAUUUUAUUAUGUUGGUAGUA